GCUGGGGAGAAAGGAAAAGCGUCACGGCGUGGUUUGUACUGGAAGGGACGUUGGAGCCCCUUCAGCUCCACCCUCUGCGCUGGUAGGGACUCCUCCCAUCAGACUAGCGUACGCAAGGCUGUGUUCAGCCUGUCCUUGGGCCCCGCCGUGAAGGGCGCAGCCGCAGCUUCCUAGGGCCAGCGCCUCAUCACCCUCAGCGUGAAGAAUUUUCCUAAUGUCGAAUCUAAAUUAGAUACGUCUUAAAGCUUUUCUGAGGAGCAGCUGAGGGAACUGGGGCUGUUUAGCCUGGAGAAGAGGAGGCUGAGGGAAGACCGUAUAGCCCUCCGCAGCUCACUGCAGGGAGGUUGUAGCGAGGCAGCCACAUGAAGAGCAUGAAGCAAGACAUCCUCCUUCGGCAGCACCGGGAAGGCAUGAGCUACAUCCAGCUCAGCUCAGUUUCUGCCUGUUCACUGUGGUUGUUUCAGAUCCCUUGCGCUUUCUCUAGCAAAUGUGGUGAAGAAAGAAAUGCUGGAUUUUGUGCUUACCUGCUUCCAAAAUAACAUUUGGAAAUAUGUUAUCUCCCAGUUGCAUGUCUAAACAGCAAGGGACAAUCCUAGCCAAGUUAUUAAAAGAAUCCCUUUCAGAUUUACAGUUUGCAAUAUUUUUUUUGGUUACGUUAACCUUCUUGACAAUAUUUUUUCUGGAAAAAAGAGGAACUCCACAUUUAGUGUAUGCUUGCAUUUUCAUUCCUAGAGCUCUUUGCACUUCACUGCUAAUUAACUUUCAAUAACUGUUGGAAGGUUACAGUCAGUCAGCAUGAAUCAGAGGGAGAAUGUAGCUUUAGGGGACUGCACUCUGUCAAAAACGAUUAGAAACCUUUGCUUGAUUUCUAAGAAGAACACACUUGCUCAAGCAGGCUACAGCAGCUAUUAAGCAGUGUUCUGCCAUAGUAAAAAAUCUUUAAUAAAAAAAAAAAAGCAGUGCUUUUGCCAUAGCCCUCCUUCCAGGGUGGCUCUAAGUAAUUAUGCAGCAUUUUUCAUGCUUGCCAUUUGUUUGGAUUCCUUUAGGAAUUAGAGGUGUUGCUUAGGCCAAUGCCUGAGCAGUACUUUUAACUGUUCACGAAUGUAAUUUGAAAUGGGAGAGAAGCAGGGGGUUGCUUAAAGGUGCAGCUCAGCUUGUGGAAGCUCUGCCCUUCCUAGGAUGGAGAAGAGUUGAGACCAGCUCUUGGCUGGGAGAGCUCAGGGGAUUAUGUGGCUGUGGCAGGCAACAAUGCUGGUGGUGCUGGGAAUGGGUUGCAUUUCCAGGAUGCAGUGUGCAGGGCUCUCAAACUCCAUGCUUUUGACAAAUUACCACUUUAGUAAUUAGGAAGGCGGGAGGUGAGCUGUGCAGGGCUGGUGUGUCCCCAGUGUGUGCUUUCCUCUCAGGCUUUUGGAGCUCUGAGUUAUGCCACCCAGUAGACUCGGGCCCCUGAAAUGCUCCUUAAUAUCAUCCACAAUGCCCUUGUCUAGCUACUUAAAAGCUAACUGCAAUGUUAGAUGUAAUUCCAACUCCUCUUUGUGCUGCUGAAUCCUUUUUCUUCCACAAAGACCCCAGCUGCUCAUUGCUGCUAGUAUAUUUGGGCUGUGCAGUCACAGAAAUGGGGAACACUUGUGUCAGGCACUGAUGGAGAGGUCCUUGGGGCUCCUCAAAGCAAAGCCUUGCCUACCUUGGAACCUAGUGCUGCUGGGGAUGGCCCCUCUGCCCUCAGUGUCUGCAAGCCCAUGGUGGGUGCAGUUCCUGCCCCACAUGGUGAUGCUCAUCACCCAGUUCCAGCCUACUAUUUACUUUCUAUCUAGAGUUGAUAGAGGCUUUUAAUUUCCAAGUGUGCUGUUAAAAAUCUCAACACAUGCUCCAGAUUACUAAGGAUGCUUCCUCUGCUUUAUUUACAUUUUCUUUUUCCCCUUUGCUCUUCCUUUCCCCUCCUUGCGUCAGCAAUGGGUGUAAUUUGUUUGCAGAAUUACAGGGUGUUUUAUCUUUCUUU